AGUGAACGCUGGCGGUAGGCCUAACACAUGCAAGUCGAACGGCAGCACAGUAAGAGCUUGCUCUUACGGGUGGCGAGUGGCGGACGGGUGAGGAAUACAUCGGAAUCUACUUUUUCGGGGGGGAUAACGGAGGGAAACUUACGCUAAUACCGCAUACGACCUACGGGUGAAAGCAGGGGAGCUUCGGACCUUGCGCGAUUGAAUGAGCCGAUGUCGGAUUAGCUAGUUGGCGGGGUAAAGGCCCACCAAGGCGACGAUCCGUAGCUGGUCUGAGAGGAUGAUCAGCCACACUGGAACUGAGACACGGUCCAGACUCCUACGGGAGGCAGCCGUGGGGAAUAUUGGACGCUGGGCGCAAGCCUGAUCCAGCCAUACCGCGUGCGUGAAGAAGGCCUUCGGGUUGUAAAGCCCUUUUGUUGGGAAAGAAAAGCAGCAGGUUAAUACCCCGCUGUUCUGACGGUACCCAAAGAAUAAGCACCGGCUAACUUCGUG
rnacentral:rRNA from 1 species